rnacentral:rRNA from 1 species
CACGUAGGGAGCAAGCGUUGUCCGGAAUCAUUGGGCGUAAAGCGCGUGUAGGCGGUUACGUAAGUCUGCUGUGAAAGUCGGAGGCUCAACCUUCGAAAGCCGGUGGAUACUGCGUGACUAGAGUACGGAAGAGGAGAGUGGAAUUCCUGGUGUAGCGGUGAAAUGCGCAGAUAUCAGGAGGAACACCAACGGCGAAAGCGACUUUCUGGGCCUUACCUGACGCUGAGACGCGAAAGCGUGGGGAGCGAACCGG